UCUAGACAGAGGUACAGGCGCAUGGCAGGG
rnacentral:piRNA from 1 species